ACACAGUUUCCCCUGUGUUCACUCUCCUCCCUACAGAGUACGGAGAAAAUAGGAACUUAGAAGCAUACCUUCAAGGCUAGCAGACUUAGGCUGCUAUGGCUGAGAUGCAAACGUCCAAGGAAAAGCCUCUGGUCUUUUUGCUCCAUUCUUCACACCCCACUUCCUUGCUAUAUGAUCAAAAUGGAAGAGAACCAUGGUACCAAAUGAAGGAACCAGGGAGAGGUUUCAAGAGCACCUGAAGAACCAGCAGAAGGAUGAGAGAAACAUGGCAGAAAGGCUCUGCAGAGCCCUGGGGUAAGCAGCAACAGCUGUAUGAAACAAGCUGAACUUCUCUUUUUUUAAUCACCCUCCUUAAAUCCAGCUGAGAUUCAGGCAUGCUCCUACCUAAAGCUGGUUGUUGCUAAUAAAUAGGUGAGCAGCCACUUCUCUGCAGCUGAGGGAUGCUGCCUCUGCUCAUCAGCAUGUGCAGCUGCUGGUCCCCAGCCUGGCCUCACUAACACCAGUCCAGCACUGCAGGCAGAGGAACUGCCCCAAGACCUCCUGUCCCAGGAGUACCCAGGACUUUGGGCACAAACCAUCCAGUCAAGCAGCUCUUUAUGUUUCUGUUUCUCCAGUUUAUAAAACAAAGCUAAAAAUAGUUUUCUGCAUGUAGAAGAAGCUUUCCUGAAUAUGCCUAAACUUAAAGCUUUACACAUAAGUGUGUUUCUCCAAAAGGUUUUCUCUCUUACAGAAGUGAAAAGUCCACAGUUGCACUUGGACUGUGCUCAAAAGCUGCAGCUGGAUCCACUUCUACACGGAGAUAAAGAUGCUCAAUGGUUCAUGGUCGGCUGUCAUCUCAAACCCAUACUGGGACUCACAGUGGAUGCUCCUGCUCCUUUCUCCAGCCCUCUUGGAGCUGCUUCAUAAAAGGUCAUGGACAGGGAGCACCGCAGACUAAGGGCACCUGGCCAUCCUUCACGAGUAUGACUACUUUCCAUUUGUGAGCUCAUUAGCAGAAUUUAGGAAAGAUUUAAUUUUUUUUUAAAAAGAGGCACUUUCUACGAAUGCAUACCAUACUCAUAAGUGUUUUAUGUCUGUAAACUAUUUCAAGUACCAAAAUCAGACUAGCCCCUUAAAGAAGUCUAAAUCCUGAAAAGUGAAGGCAGUAGCAAGAAAAGAAGGAAAAAAGAAAGAGGAGAAGAUGAAAAGGAAAAGAGAAGUGAAAAGGAGGGGAGGGAAGGGAAGGGAAGGUAAGAGAAAGGAAGAGAAGGGAAGAGGCCCAUUUAAGUUAUCAGAGCUGCUUUUUCUGUUUCAUUAUUCAGAGAAGGCUUGGGGGCCCCAGCGUCUGAAGUCCUUUACAGACAGGACUGUGACACUUCUCAGGAUUUAGAUUUCAGGUAUGGAAUUGAACACAACUAAUAAAUUAAAGUACCACGCAGAGACA
rnacentral:lncRNA from 1 species